rnacentral:rRNA from 1 species
GCAGUCGAACGGAGCACCCUUGACUGAGGUUUCGGCCAAAUGAUAGGAAUGCUUAGUGGCGGACUGGUGAGUAACGCGUGAGGAACCUGCCUUUCAGAGGGGGACAACAGUUGGAAACGACUGCUAAUACCGCAUGAUGCGUAACUGGGACAUCCCGGAUACGCCAAAGAUUUUAUCGCUGAAAGAUGGCCUCGCGUCUGAUUAGAUAGUUGGCGGGGUAACGGCCCACCAAGUCGACGAUCAGUAGCCGGACUGAGAGGUUGACCGGCCACAUUGGGACUGAGAUACGGCCCAGACUCCUACGGGAGGCAGCAGUCGGGAAUAUUGCGCAAUGGAGGAAACUCUGACGCAGUGACGCCGCGUGCAGGAAGAAGGUUUUCGGAUUGUAAACUGCUUUAGACAGGGAAGAAACAAGACAGUACCUGUAGAAUAAGCUCCGGCUAACUACGUGCCAGC